rnacentral:rRNA from 1 species
GGAUUAGAUACCCUGGUAGUCCACGCCGUAAACGAUGUUCACUAGGUGUAGGGGGUAUCGACUCCCUCUGUGCCGGAGUUAACGCAUUAAGUGAACCACCUGGGGAAUACGAUCGCAAGAUUAAAACUCAAAGGAAUUGACGGGGGCCCGCACAAGCGGUGGAGUAUGUGGUUUAAUUCGAAGCAACCCGAUGAACCUUACCAGGGCUUGACAUUAGUGGACCGCCGUGGAAACACGGUUUCUCCCUCACGGGAGCCGCUGGACAGGUGUUGCAUGGCUGUCGUCAGCUCGUGUCG